ensembl:lncRNA
GUAAUUUACGGUUAAAUCAUUAGUCAUUUUAAUUUCUGAGAGCCGACGAGUCGGUGGCGGAAUGACCACUAGGGGGCCCGCAGAGACAGAUUAACGUGGGACUGCGCGUCACCGCGUACAGGCGCGCCACCGACAAAGUCACCUGCAGAAUGACGUGGAGGAACCACGUAAUAAAUACACCGAUGGACAUUACUGGUAUCGGAACAAAUCCAAAUAUCACUGAGGAGAGCACAGAUAGCCCAGGGACCAGGCUGCUGUGUGAAACUAAAGGGUGGAAGUCUAAGCCUGAACUGGAGUGGCUCAGUGGUCAAAGAACUAAAUUGACUGAUAAUGUGGCAGAGUCACAGGAAGUCAACGGGCUCUACACUGUAAAGCACCGCGUCACUGCACACGGCAGUGGAACCUACAGCUGCAGUGUCAAACAGUAUCCCAUGAUGGAGGCGCGCAAGUACAUUUCUGACUCUUCACAACCAAAGGACACUGGUCAUUCCUUCACCUCUGGACAAUCCAAGACCACCGUAAUUCUAAUUAUAACUGGAAUUGUCUUAAUGCUCAUGGUUGGAGUUGACAUUUAAGAUGUAGAGAGCCAAGACACCAACGAACUUUACUGAGCAGUGCCCCCUGCUGGCCUGCAGAGAUCCUGCUCUGAGUGAUCGGUACUGUGCGAUUUUGAUUGUUUCCGCAAAUCUAGUUUUCACAAAUCUUUAUUUUGUAUAUUUUUUUCCAUGUUCUUGACUUUUGUUUACUUUGUAAAUGCUGUUGUGAUUGUGUGGGUGUGUCCUGUAGUCAUCAUAAGGAUGUGGCGGGGGACAGACCUACAUGAGUGUGACGUCCUUUACUUCUGUGUCUAUAAGCACCAGACGAGCUAAUUAAACCUACUGAUGAGUUUAACUAUAUAAACAUGCGUAGCUAAUUAACAUAAAUCUACAUAUGGAUUUAAGCCUGUACGCAUGCAGACACCAGCUGAGCUAAUUAACAUAAACUUACAUGAGUCUGUAAGCAUGUAUACACCAGUACCUUUAUAAGUAUCCACCAGAUGAGCUUAAUGUAAACCUAUAUAUAAUAUUAAACUCGUACUUUAAAGCAUCUGGACGUGAAUCAGAGUGUAGAUGUGUAUUAACAAAACUGAGUGUUUAUCUUUUCCUGAGUUUUAAUUUUUUUAAUGUAUGUAUGUAAUCUGUAUGGGAAAUGCUCUCACACUAAACCUGGAAUGUGCUUGAGAUGGAGGUAAAAUCUUUAUCCAUCAGUUCAAACUCUCACCACUAGAGGGAGUAAUUGGGCAGCCACAUUUACAGCAGCUGCCUAGCAGGAAGACAUGUUCCCUUGCAUUUGUAUUGAACAAAUUUUUAUAUAAAUGAAUAAAUAACUGGCUAGUAUACGUUAGAGUUCCCUACAGUGGGACUCCCUUUUCUUUAAAUAACCUUUCCUUUAAUCAGCAGUGUAACUUUUUUUUUUGCCCUCAUGUUUUGAUGUCUUGUUUGUAAAAUAGAGACGUCUCAUUUUAGAUCUGCCUAUCAUAUCAUGUCUACACAUGUUGCACCUGCUAUAUCAUUUACAUGUUUCCACUUAUUCCAUGAUUUUCUUCUCUAUAUAUACUCAUGUAUCUCUGAAUAAAGUGUGUGCGCUUCUCAGCAUCUCUGUCACUCAUUCUAAGAAACGAGGCCCAG